CCUACGGGUGGCAGCAGUGAGGAAUAUUGGUCAAUGGACGAGAGUCUGAACCAGCCAAGUAGCGUGAAGGAUGACUGCCCUAUGGGUUGUAAACUUCUUUUAUAUGGGAAUAAAACAGGGUAUGUAUACCCUCAUGUUUGUACAAUAUGAAUAAGGCUCGGCUAAAUCCGCGCCAGCAGCGGCGGUAAUACGGAGGAUCUGAGCGUUAUCCGGUUAUAUUGGGUUAAAAGGGAGCGAAGGUGGAUUGUUAAGUCAGUUGGGAAAGUUUAGGGCUCAACCGUAAGAUUGCAGUUGAAACUGGCAGUCUUGAGUACAGUAGAGGUGAGCGGAAUUCGUGGUGUAGCAGUGAAAUGCUUAGAUAUCACGAAGAACUCCGAUUGCGAAGGCAGCUCACUGGACUGCAACUGACACUGAUGCUCGAAAGUGUAGGUAUCAAACAGGAUUAGAUACCCCUGUAGUC
rnacentral:rRNA from 1 species